rnacentral:tRNA from 1 species
AGGUACUUAGUCCAAAAUUAAGACCAUUGAUUUCGACUCAAUUAAYUAUGGUGAAAACCCAUAAGUACCUU